GAAAUGCGAUAAGUAAUGUGAAUUGCAGAAUUCAGUGAAUCAUCGAAUCUUUGAACGCACCUUGCGCCCUCUGGUAUUCCGGAGGGCAUGCCUGUUUGAGUGUCAUGAAGACUUCAACCCCUCGGGUUUUGCUCGAGGAUGUUGGACUUGGGUGCUGCCGUGUCUUCGGCUCGCCUCAAAUGUGUCAGUGGUAAUCAGACCUUUGACAGGAGUAAUAAGUUUCUCUUGUCUGUCGGUCGUCGAUGGCUGCUACAAACCCGCCUCUUUGGCAUCUAUGACUCUGACCUCAAAUCAGGUAGGACUACCCGCUGAACUUAA
rnacentral:misc_RNA from 1 species